GAUGAACGCUAGCUACAGGCUUAACACAUGCAAGUCGAGGGGCAGCAUUUUUAUAGCAAUAUAAAAGAUGGCGACCGGCGCACGGGUGAGUAACACGUAUCCAACCUGCCGAUAACUCGGGGAUAACCCUUCGAAGGAAGGCCUAAUACCCGAUGGCAUAUCCCUUCCGCCUGGUUGGGAUAUUAAAGAACUUCGGUUAUCGAUGGGGAUGCGUUCCAUUAGCUUGUUGGCGGGGUAACGGCCCACCAAGGCUUCGAUGGAUAGGGGUUCUGAGAGGAAGGUCCCCCACAUUGGAACUGAGACACGGUCCAA
rnacentral:rRNA from 1 species